AUUGAACGCUGGCGGCAGGCCUAACACAUGCAAGUCGAGCGGAUGAAGGGAGCUUGCUCCUGGAUUCAGCGGCGGACGGGUGAGUAAUGCCUAGGAGUCUCCCUGGUAGUGGGGGAUAACGUCCGGAAACGGGCGCUACUACCGCAUACGUCCUGCGGGAGCAAGUGGGGGAUCUUCGGACCUCACGCUAUCAGAUGAGCCUAGGUCGGCUUAGCUAGUUGGUGGGGUAAAGGGCUACCAAGGCGACCAUCCGUAACUGGUCUGUGUGGAGGAUCAGUCACACGGGAACGUGGACACGGUCCUGGCGCCUACGGGAGGCAGCAGUGGGGAAUAGGGGACAAUGGGCGAAAGCCUGAUCCAACCAUGCGGCGUGUGUGAAGAAGGUCUUCGGAUUGUAAAGCACUUUAAGGUGUGAGGAAGCGCAGUAAGUUAAGACCUUGCUGUUUUGACGUUACCAACAGAAUAAGCACCGGCUAACUUCGUG
rnacentral:rRNA from 1 species